rnacentral:rRNA from 1 species
GAUGAACGCUGGCGGCGUGCCUAAUACAUGCAAGUCGAGCGAACGGACGAGAAGCUUGCUUCUCUGAUGUUAGCGGCGGACGGGUGAGUAACACGUGGAUAACCUACCUAUAAGACUGGGAUAACUUCGGGAAACCGGAGCUAAUACCGGAUAAUAUUUUGAACCGCAUGGUUCAAAAGUGAAAGACGGUCUUGCUGUCACUUAUAGAUGGAUCCGCGCUGCAUUAGCUAGUUGGUAAGGUAACGGCUUACCAAGGCAACGAUGCAUAGCCGACCUGAGAGGGUGAUCGGCCACACUGGAACUGAGACACGGUCCAGACUCCUACGGGAGGCAGCAGUAGGGAAUCUUCCGCAAUGGGCGAAAGCCUGACGGAGCAACGCCGCGUGAGUGAUGAAGGUCUUCGGAUCGUAAAACUCUGUUAUUAGGGAAGAACAUAUGUGUAAGUAACUGUGCACAUCUUGACGGUACCUAAUCAGAAAGCCACGGCUAACUACGUGCCAGCAGCCGCGGUAAUACGUAGGUGGCAAGCGUUAUCCGGAAUUAUUGGGCGUAAAGCGCGCGUAGGCGGUUUUUUAAGUCUGAUGUGAAAGCCCACGGCUCAACCGUGGAGGGUCAUUGGAAACUGGAAAACUUGAGUGCAGAAGAGGAAAGUGGAAUUCCAUGUGUAGCGGUGAAAUGCGCAGAGAUAUGGAGGAACACCAGUGGCGAAGGCGACUUUCUGGUCUGUAACUGACGCUGAUGUGCGAAAGCGUGGGGAUCAAACAGGAUUAGAUACCCUGGUAGUCCACGCCGUAAACGAUGAGUGCUAAGUGUUAGGGGGUUUCCGCCCCUUAGUGCUGCAGCUAACGCAUUAAGCACUCCGCCUGGGGAGUACGACCGCAAGGUUGAAACUCAAAGGAAUUGACGGGGACCCGCACAAGCGGUGGAGCAUGUGGUUUAAUUCGAAGCAACGCGAAGAACCUUACCAAAUCUUGACAUCCUUUGACAACUCUAGAGAUAGAGCCUUCCCCUUCGGGGGACAAAGUGACAGGUGGUGCAUGGUUGUCGUCAGCUCGUGUCGUGAGAUGUUGGGUUAAGUCCCGCAACGAGCGCAACCCUUAAGCUUAGUUGCCAUCAUUAAGUUGGGCACUCUAAGUUGACUGCCGGUGACAAACCGGAGGAAGGUGGGGAUGACGUCAAAUCAUCAUGCCCCUUAUGAUUUGGGCUACACACGUGCUACAAUGGACAAUACAAAGGGCAGCGAAACCGCGAGGUCAAGCAAAUCCCAUAAAGUUGUUCUCAGUUCAGAUUGUAGUCUGCAACUCGACUACAUGAAGCUGGAAUCGCUAGUAAUCGUAGAUCAGCAUGCUACGGUGAAUACGUUCCCGGGUCU